GGCGCAAGCCUGAUGCAGCCAUGCCGCGUGUAUGAAGAAGGCCUUCGGGUUGUAAAGUACUUUCAGCAGUGAGGAAGGUGGUAGUGUUAAUAGCACUAUCAUUUGACGUUAGCUGCAGAAGAAGCACCGGCUAACUCCGUGCCAGCAGCCGCGGUAAUACGGAGGGUGCGAGCGUUAAUCGGAAUUACUGGGCGUAAAGCGCAUGCAGGUGGUUUGUUAAGUCAGAUGUGAAAGCCCGGGGCUCAACCUCGGAAUAGCAUUUGAAACUGGCAGACUAGAGUACUGUAGAGGGGGGUAGAAUUUCAGGUGUAGCGGUGAAAUGCGUAGAGAUCUGAAGGAAUACCGGUGGCGAAGGCGGCCCCCUGGACAGAUACUGACACUCAGAUGCGAAAGCGUGGGGAGCAAACAGGAUUAGAUACCCUGGUAGUCCACGCCGUAAACGAUGUCUACUUGGAGGUUGUGGCCUUGAGCCGUGGCUUUCGGAGCUAACGCGUUAAGUAGACCGCCUGG
rnacentral:rRNA from 1 species